rnacentral:misc_RNA from 1 species
UCUCCGUAGGUGAACCUGCGGAGGGAUCAUUACAGAGUUCAUGCCCUAACGGGUAGAUCUCCCACCCUAUGUUAUCAUCACUUUGUUGCUUUGGCGGGCCGUCAGGCCCCGGCUUGGCUACCGGCUCUCGCUGGUAAGCGCCCGCCAGAGAACCCCAAACCCUGAAUAUCAGUGUCGUCUGAGUACUAUAUAAUAGUUAAAACUUUCAACAACGGAUCUCUUGGUUCUC